rnacentral:rRNA from 2 species
UGGGGAAUUUUGGACAAUGGGCGCAAGCCUGAUCCAGCCAUGCCGCGUGAGUGAAGAAGGCCUUCGGGUUGUAAAGCUCUUUUGUCCGGGAGCAAGUCCUACUGGCUAAUAUCUGGUGGGGAUGAGAGUACUGGAAGAAUAAGCACCGGCUAACUACGUGCCAGCAGCCGCGGUAAUACGUAGGGUGCGAGCGUUAAUCGGAAUUACUGGGCGUAAAGGGUGCGCAGGCGGUUUUGUAAGCCAGAUGUGAAAUCCCCGGGCUUAACCUGGGAACUGCGUUUGGAACUACAAGGCUAGAGUGUGUCAGAGGGGGGUAGAAUUCCACGUGUAGCAGUGAAAUGCGUAGAGAUGUGGAGGAAUACCGAUGGCGAAGGCAGCCCCCUGGGAUAACACUGACGCUCAUGCACGAAAGCGUGGGGAGCAAACA